UAAAAUUUCACUGUAUGGUGAUUUGUUAAACUGUUUAGCUAUUUUUACAUUUCUUCGGAAAUUUUGGAAAAUUUCCCCCAAAAAACAACUUUUUGGGGAAAAAUUAAAUGAUAAUUCUUUCUUGUAGUGAACUCCAGGUUUCAGCAUCCAUGCUAUUCUCUCCCCAAAAGAUUAGGCGAGAAUCGUUUCCUCUUUUCCUAUCCUGGGAAGAUGAGAUGUGAGUUGAGCCCUAUUUCUUUUACACACUUAGAACAGUUUUUCAUGAAAGUCAUUUAGACCUGGAUUUUCUUUACCGCUAGGCUUCUAAUUAUGUUUUGCUUAUAAUUUACAUUAUUUUAAAUUGUUGUUCCUCCCAUCCACUGUAGUUUUCAUUUUAAACGUUGUAGCUUUUUUCCUCUAGAAGUUGGGUUUGAGUCUUUUAUAUAUCAUGAGUGUCUCUACUUAACUUUGAUGUGCUCUGUUCUACCUGCUUUGGUAGAAGUGGCAUAGCUUUUCCCCUUGCAGUCUAUCGGCCAGAAAUGGCCACGUGGCCUCACCCACAGCAAGGGAGGCUGAGUGUAUGGGGAACAAUGUGGGGUGUUGUCGUCACAGCAGCUCCGCGGACAACACCUUCAGAUCCCUCAGGAGAAAGGAGCGAUGCCGUAGUCAUUAACUCAUCUGUUUUCUCAACCUCAGCUCUAAUCCAUCAGGACAUCGUAUUGCCUCUUCCUUUCAGAUGUACCCAAACUUCAGCCACCCCUCGUGACCUCAGCCAUUCUG
rnacentral:lncRNA from 1 species